rnacentral:tRNA from 3 species
CAAUGUGGCUCAGGGGUAGAGCAAUUCACUCGUAAUGAAUAGGUCGUGAGUUCGAUUCUCACCAUUG